rnacentral:rRNA from 1 species
GACGAACGCUGGCGGCGUGCCUAAUACAUGCAAGUCGAGCGAACAGAAAAGGAGCUUGCUCCUUUGACGUUAGCGGCGGACGGGUGAGUAACACGUGGGCAACCUACCCUAUAGUUGGGAUAACUCCGGGAAACCGGGGCUAAUACCGAAUAAUCUCUUUUACUUCAUGGUGAAAGACUGAAAGACGGUUUCGGCUGUCGCUAUAGGAUGGGCCUGCGGCGCAUUAGCUAGUUGGUGAGGUAACGGCUCAUCAAGGCGACGAUGCGUAGCCGGCCUGAGAGGGAGAUCGGCCACACUGGGACUGAGACACGGCCCAUACGCCUACGGGAGGCAGCAGUAGGGAAUCUUCCACAAUGGGCGAAAGCCUGAUGGAGCAACGCCGCGUGAGUGAAGAAGGUUUUCGGAUCGUAAAACUCUGUUGUAAGGGAAGAACAAGUACAGUAGUAACUGGCUGUACCUUGACGGUACCUUAUUAGAAAGCCACGGCUAACUACGUGCCAGCCGCCGCCGUAAUAC